AAAAAGGACUGGUGUAUACUACUGAGCCUCAAAAAGGCCGGGAAAUUCUGUCAUUUAUGACAGGAUAGGUGAGUCUGGAUGCCGUCGUGUUCAGUGAGACAAGCCAGGCAAAGGAAGACAAACACCACGUGAUCUUACUUAUACAGGAUCUGAAAAGGAUGAUCUCAUAGGGGUGAAGAGGAAUGGUGGUUAGCAGAAGCCAGGAUGGGUGGGUGCGGGUGAAGAAAGGAGAGUUGGUGCUCAGAUAGGAGGAAUGAUUCCCACAUUUUAUUUAAGCACAGCAGGUGAUUAUGAUUAGUAAGGUUUUGUUUGUUUGGUUGGUUUGGUUUGGUUUGGCUUUUUCAAGACUGGGGUUUCUUUAUGUAGCCCUGGCUGUUCUGGAAUUCACUCUGUAGAUUAGACUGGCCUCACACUCAGGUCCACAUGCCUUUGUCUCCUGAGUGCUGGGACUAAAGGCGUGUGCCAACUAUACCUGACAGUGUUUUAAAACUUAGAAAACACGAUUUUAAAUGUUCUCGCUAAAAAGAAUAAGCAUUUGGGGUGAUGUAUAUGAUGCUGUGCUUGUAGCAGAAUAUCCUUGUCCAUCAGAAGGCGAUGGUAGCUUUUCAAUUAAAAAAUAAAAACAAAACAGAUUGAGCUAGAUAGCAUUCAAAGCCCAGGGCUCUGGCUGCCUUUUUGGCGAGUGUAGUCUGCACGGGCAGUCUUGGUGAGGCGGUUUAGCCCUUACUGAUAUUGCUUGUGCCGUUCUUUCAGCCACUGUAUACAUCAGAUCCUGGAGAGCGUCAACCACAUCCACCAGCAUGACAUCGUCCACCGGGACCUGAAGCCCGAGAACUUGCUGCUGGCGAGUAAAUGCAAGGGUGCUGCGGUCAAGCUAGCUGAUUUUGGCCUGGCCAUCGAAGUGCAGGGAGAGCAGCAGGCUUGGUUUGGUUUUGCUGGCACCCCAGGUUACUUGUCCCCUGAGGUCUUGAGGAAAGAUCCCUAUGGAAAACCUGUGGAUAUCUGGGCCUGCGGGGUCAUCCUGUAUAUCCUCCUGGUGGGCUACCCUCCCUUCUGGGAUGAGGAUCAGCACAAGCUCUAUCAGCAGAUCAAAGCUGGAGCCUACGAUGUAAGGAUGGGUUUCUGAGAGCUGAGCAGUCACUCCCCAAAGGACAGAGUCCCUGCCCCUAAGGGUCUGUCCAAGGGAGCAGUGUUGUCAUUUGAUAACAGGGUGUCAGGGGACUUUGAGGACCCAAGGAUGGGCAUACAGGACUCAAUUCUUGCCACCUUAUAUACAGGGAACAGACUUUUAUUUAAAAAAAAAAAUGCUCCCAUUAGCUAUAAAAUUAAGGAACUCAGUGAAGGCUUUGGUCUCUUUCCACAAAGAGUAGAGAAACGCUGCAGUGCGUUAUAUCCCAGAGGGAGAAUUUUAGAG
rnacentral:lncRNA from 1 species